CACGUAGUUAGCCGGUGCUUCUUCUGCAGGUACCGUCUGGAUUCGUUCCUGCUGAAAGAGGUUUACAACCCGAAGGCCUUCAUCCCUCACGCGGCGUCGCUGCGUCAGGCUUCCGCCCAUUGCGCAAUAUUCCCCACUGCUGCCUCCCGUAGGAGUCUGGGCCGUGUCUCAGUCCCAGUGUGGCCGGUCGCCCUCUCAGGCCGGCUACCCGUCGUCGCCUUGGUAGGCCAUUACCCCACCAACAAGCUGAUAGGCCGCGGGCCCAUCCUUGACCGAAAAAACUUUCAACCACCCCAGAUGCCCAGGGAAGUGAUAUCCGGUAUUAGCAGCUGUUUCCAACUGUUAUCCCGAAGUCAAGGGCAGGUUACCCACGUGUUACUCACCCGUUCGCCACUCGAGUACCCGCAAGCGGGCCUUUCCGUUCGACUUGCAUGUGUUAAGCACGCCGCCAGCGUUCGUCCUGAGCCAGGAUCAAACUCU
rnacentral:rRNA from 1 species